GCGGCGCUCCCCUGCUCUCUGGCUCCGGACUGCGGCGCGGCGGCUGGAGCGAGCCCCUGUCCCGGCGCGGGGCGGCGGCGGGCGGCCGGCAGGCGCUGCCUUGCGUGUGAGUGCACCUCACUCACAUGUGCUGGAGAAUCUGGUAAAAGCACCAUUGUGAAGCAGAUGAGGAUCCUGCAUGUUAAUGGGUUUAAUGGAGAAAUGUAUUAUCCCUAGAUGAUGGCUACAGUUUCUCAUCUUCCCGGCUAUGUCCUAUCACAAUUUGCAUGCUGGAAUUGCUCGGUCUUAGGAACUUCUAAUAAGAAUACUAUUCUGUUAUCUGAGGGGGGAGGGGGGAUGGGGCCCCUACUACCUGACCUUAAACGAUGAUUGAAAAAAUGAAAAAUGGACUGAAAUCCUUAAUUGGCAGAAAUGUAGUAUGACAACUAUCCAAAAAGGCAUCUCUCUAAGAAAUGACUAAUUGACAAUCUGCUGUACCAAAAGUUGGCAUUUGAGCAAGAUAUGACAAGUCCUUAGUGAGCAACCUACUGUGUACUAGAUGUCCUGCUAAACCCUUGAACCCUACUAAUACCUUGGCCUGCACGUCUCUCUGACUCUGUUCUGCAAGUCAAUAUAAGUAUUAACAUUCGUGAUAAAUAAAAAUUCUCUGCAUGUUUCAGCAA
rnacentral:sRNA from 1 species